CGCAGGGCACGGAGGUGCAGGUGGAGGACAUCAAGCGCGUGUACUCCCUGUUCCUGGACGAGUCCCGCUCCACCCAGUACAUGAAGGAGUACCAGGACGCCUUCCUCUUCAACGAGCUCAAGGGAGACACCAUGGACACAUCGUGAUCCCCCCCCCCCGCCCGUCCAGCCGUUUCAUUGGUUUCUGAUUUUGUAAAAUAAACGUUUUGGAAAAA